rnacentral:rRNA from 1 species
UGAGGGAUAUUGGGCAAUGGGGGAAACCCUGACCCAGCGACGCCGCGUGAGGGAAGACGGUCUUCGGAUUGUAAACCUCUGUCUUUGGGGACGAAGAAGGACGGUACCCAAGGAGGAAGCUCCGGCUAACUACGUGCCAGCAGCCGCGGUAAUACGUAGGGAGCGAGCGUUGUCCGGAAUUACUGGGUGUAAAGGGAGCGUAGGCGGGAUUGCAAGUUGGAUGUGAAAACUGCGGGCUCAACCCGGAGAGUGCAUUCAAAACUGCGAUUCUUGAGUGAAGUAGAGGCAAGCGGAAUUCCUAGUGUAGCGGUGAAAUGCGUAGAUAUUAGGAGGAACACCAGUGGCGAAGGCGGCUUGCUGGGCUUUUUGACUGACGCUGAGGCUCGAAAGUGUGGGGAGCAAACAGGAUUAGAUACCC